CGAUGAACCACUUCGGUGGGGAUUAGUGGCGAACGGGUGAGUAACACGUGGGCAAUCUGCCCUUCACUCUGGGACAAGCCCUGGAAACGGGGUCUAAUACCGGAUAACACUUCUGCUCUCAUGGGCAGGGGUUAAAAGCUCCGGCGGUGAAGGAUGAGCCCGCGGCCUAUCAGCUUGUUGGUGAGGUAAUGGCUCACCAAGGCGACGACGGGUAGCCGGCCUGAGAGGGCGACCGGCCACACUGGGACUGAGACACGGCCCAGACUCCUACGGGAGGCAGCAGUGGGGAAUAUUGCACAAUGGGCGAAAGCCUGAUGCAGCGACGCCGCGUGAGGGAUGACGGCCUUCGGGUUGUAAACCUCUUUCAGCAGGGAAGAAGCGAAAGUGACGGUACCUGCAGAAGAAGCGCCGGCUAACUACGUGCCAGCAGCCGCGGUAAUACGUAGGGCGCAAGCGUUGUCCGGAAUUAUUGGGCGUAAAGAGCUCGUAGGCGGCUUGUCACGUCGGGUGUGAAAGCCCGGGGCUUAACCCCGGGUCUGCAUUCGAUACGGGCUAGCUAGAGUGUGGUAGGGGAGAUCGGAAUUCCUGGUGUAGCGGUGAAAUGCGCAGAUAUCAGGAGGAACACCGGUGGCGAAGGCGGAUCUCUGGGCCAUUACUGACGCUGAGGAGCGAAAGCGUGGGGAGCGAACAGGAUUAGAUACCCUGGUAGUCCACGCCGUAAACGGUGGGAACUAGGUGUUGGCGACAUUCCACGUCGUCGGUGCCGCAGCU
rnacentral:rRNA from 1 species